rnacentral:rRNA from 1 species
UACGUAGGGUGCGAGCGUUAAUCGGAAUUACUGGGCGUAAAGCGUGCGCAGGCGGUCUGUUAAGACCGAUGUGAAAUCCCCGGGCUUAACCUGGGAACUGCAUUGGUGACUGGCAGGCUUUGAGUGUGGCAGAGGGAGGUAGAAUUCCACGUGUAGCAGUGAAAUGCGUAGAGAUGUGGAGGAAUACCGAUGGCGAAGGCAGCCUCCUGGACAAACACUGACGCUCAUGCACGAAAGCGUGGGGAGCAAACAGG